UCGGCGAGAGUGAUUCCUUUCCUCCUCUCGCUUGCACGGCGCAGUCACACUCUCGACCGUCCGAUCGACCUACUUCCGCCUCGGGCCGUCGAUGGUCCCCCCCCUCUCUCUGGAGCUUCGUUCGUUUCCCUCCCUCUCUUGCCAGUCACCAAUCAAAGGCAACAGAUAAAACAGGAGGCGCCCGACAAGCUUCAACCUCUCUCUCUCUACAGAUCUCUCUUUUCUCGCUCUAAAAUCGUCUUGCGGUUUCGGUCACGACGGGGCAUUAUCCAGCCGGCGAUUUUGGCGUCCGAGGGCUUCCGCAGGCUUGCCGACGGCAAGACCGUCGAGUUCCAGAUUGAGUCUGAUGGCAACCUCACCAAGGCCGUCGACGUGACCGGCCCCGGCAGCGCCGCGGUGCAGGAGAGCGACCGCAGGGCAAGGGAGCAGGGACGGGCUACGGUGGCUAUCCUAUGUCCCCCCUGUGAAGUAAUAUUUUAAUUUGAAGUUAGAAUUGCUUUGACAGAGAAAAUCAAAUUUAGGACCGGGCGGUAUUUUGUAUAUUUUGUGAGGUAGAAACACGAGGCGAUUACCCGUUUAAGCAUUUUUUUU